rnacentral:rRNA from 1 species
UACAGAGGGGGCAAGCGUUGUUCGGAAUUACUGGGCGUAAAGGGCGCGUAGGCGGCCGCCUAAGUCAGACGUGAAAUCCCUCGGCUCAACCGGGGAACUGCGUCUGAUACUGGGUGGCUUGAGUCCGGGAGAGGGAUGCGGAAUUCCAGGUGUAGCGGUGAAAUGCGUAGAUAUCUGGAGGAACACCGGUGGCGAAGGCGGCAUCCUGGACCGGCAUUGACGCUGAGGCGCGAAAGCCAGGGGAGCAAACGGG